GCAUUCUAUUAGGUUGGUGCAAAAGUAAUUGCGGCUUUUGCCACUGAAAGUAAUUAUAAGAACCACAAUUACUUUUGCACCAACUUAA
rnacentral:miRNA from 1 species